AUUGAACGCUGGCGGCAGGCCUAACACAUGCAAGUCGAGCGGUAGAGAGAAGCUUGCUUCUCUUGAGAGCGGCGGACGGGUGAGUAAUGCCUAGGAAUCUGCCUGGUAGUGGGGGAUAACGUUCGGAAACGGACGCUAAUACCGCAUACGUCCUACGGGAGAAAGCAGGGGACCUUCGGGCCUUGCGCUAUCAGAUGAGCCUAGGUCGGAUUAGCUAGUUGGUGGGGUAAUGGCUCACCAAGGCGACGAUCCGUAACUGGUCUGAGAGGAUGAUCAGUCACACUGGAACUGAGACACGGUCCAGACUCCUACGGGAGGCAGCAGUGGGGAAUAUUGGACAAUGGGCGAAAGCCUGAUCCAGCCAUGCCGCGUGUGUGAAGAAGGUCUUCGGAUUGUAAAGCACUUUAAGUUGGGAGGAAGGGCAGUAAAUUAAUACUUUGCUGUUUUGACGUACCGACAGAAUAAGCACCG
rnacentral:rRNA from 1 species